UUAAGUUUAGCGGGUAUCCCCACCUGAUCCGAGGUCAACCUUAAAAAGUAGAAGGUGUUGUCCGGCGGUCGAGGCCCGGCUUUGAAAACGCUAGAAAAUGAUCUCGCUGCGCUUAAAGACGGACGGCGACGCCGAGGAGUUUGAGGCGCGCCCGCACAGGGCGGCGCCCAAUACCAAGCAGAGCUUGAGUGUUGUAAUGA
rnacentral:misc_RNA from 1 species